UUUUAAAGACACUUGUUCUUUUUGAGAAUUAUAAGCUUCUGUGAGUCAUCCUUUUUUAGGAAUGUUGAGUUCACGUCUGGGAAGUUUAGUUAUGUUUUUCUCUCAAGUUCUUAACUUUCUCUUUAGUUUUCUGUGGUCCACAUAUAGGUCUAUUGUUUUGAAAGUGUAAUUGAAGUAGCACUUUUGAAAGAAUCAAGUUAUUUCUGAGUGUGGCAAGUUAAAACUUGUCCAAACUAUUUCUGUAGCUGUUUGUGCAAAUAUCAAUAUACAGCCUUUUAAAAAUAGUCCAAACUAACAAGUGUAAAAAAAAAAAAAAAGGAAAAAAGCAAUUUGAGUAAGAGAUAUUGAGGAAAUGUCACCGCGUUCAUUUGAACUGUCACUGCAGGGUGGGGGGGAAACCUUAGGGAGACGCUUGCCUUGCCAGCAUGAGGACCCUAAUUCAAUCCCAGAAACGUACAUUACACAAAAGAAAACAAAAACCAAAGUUGGGCAGGGGCUGGAGGGAUGGGUCAGAGGCUAAGAGCAUUGGCUGCUCUUCUAGAGGUCCUGAGUUCAAUUCCCAGCACCCACAUGGUGGCUUAUAACCAUCAAUAAUGACACCUAGUGCCCUCUUCUGGCCUUCAGGCAUACAAUGCAGUCAGAAUGCUGUAUACAUAAUGAAUAAAUAAAUCUUAAAAAAAAAAAAAGAAUGAUUAUGGUCCCAGCCCUAGGGAAGCAAAGACAGGUGGAUCCCUGGGACUCUCUGUAUGGCCGGCCUAGCUACUUGGUAAUCCCCAGUCUUGUGAGAGACCUUUAUAUCAUAAAGCAAGGUGGUUGGUACUUGAGAAGAAUAGCCAAGAUUGUCCCCUGGCCUCUGCACGCAUGCACAUGUAGGUGAAUAUGGUAUGCACAUGUGCAUAUUCACAAAAUACACGCAUACACAGACAGAGAGACAGAGACAUAGAGAACAUACCCCAAUGUUUGAAGGCCUUCCAUUAAGCCUUGCCUCUUGAACUUUCUCCCACAUUCCAAACAGCACUACACCAGGAAUAAACUUCACUGUAGGCUUCUUUGGGGACAUUUCAGAUCUAAACUCUGACACUUCCUAAUGAUCACGGUUUGGUAGCUUACAGGAUGAUUUUGCAUUACAAAUGUUUUAUUCAACAAAAUUCUAAGUACAGGUUAACCUAACUUAUAAUUCUAAGAGGGUCUGUCAUACUAAACUCAUUUAGUGUUUGCCUGCUUGCUUGCUUUAAGGAGGCUUGAUUUAAAGGUAAACAUUUAAGUCUACUUAAAUGAAGAAUUUAAAAAAUUUUAUGAAUUUUUUUAAAUGUAGGAGUGCUCUGCAUGCACACCUGCAUGCCAGAAGAGGGCAUCAGAUCCCUCUGCAGAUGGUUGUGAGCCACCAUGUGGUUGCUGGGAAUUGAACUCAGGACCUCUGGAAGAGCAGCCAGUGCUCUUAACCACUGAACCACCUCUCCAACCCACAUCAUCUUGAAAUCAUCUUGAUUUUUCUUUCAAGAUGAAGAGUCUUGAGAAAAUGGAAGAAUCUGAAUGGUUUUGUGUUAGGUGAAGAAAGAACAAGUCUCGCCUUCUUUGUAGUGGGUAGUUAUCCUACAAAGGAAACAGUUUUCCCCCCAGAACUAUGCAAUAUUUUACUGAAACAUUUUAAUUUAUGUAAAAGAAGUAUAAUCUUGGCAUGGAUUAAAACAGAAGCAGCAGGAAUAAAAGUGGAGGAGAAGCUCUGAGGAACUUGCAGCUACCAGAGGAGCUGUGGGCCCUCCUGUUCUUGCGAUGUUUGUUCUGUUGUAGUAAGCUCGUAUUGCAUGUUCGCUACGUGGUGUUCUGAGGCUCUGUAAAGGGGAGAGGAUAGCUGCGUUUUCACAGUUAUCCUGAAGGGCGAAGUCUCUUGUAAUUACUAUGUUUCCGAUGAGGAAACUGCAGAGGGGUAAGUUCCCCAGGCCCAGAAGCGCCUAACCUUCUAACCUAAAUGGGAGCAUUGAACUGCUUUACCUUGGCUGGAUAGAGUGGCCCAUGGCUGGAUAGAAUAGAAUGGCACAUGGCUGGAUAGAAUGGCCCAUGGCUCUUAGCUUACAUCAUUUAUCUUCUUGCAGUUUUCUCAGUAUAGUUGUCCUAAAGCUGUGGGUGCUCUGUGAAGGGCGAAGAACAUUUACAUUGUGUUCGAACAUUCAGACGAGGCUGAGUUAAAAAUCUCUGGUUACUUCUUAGUGGUGUCUCCUUCCUACACUUGUUUUGAUGCAGGCACGUGAGCAGCAGCGACAGAGUGGGCAAGCCUUACCGUGGAGUGAAGCCUGUGUUCAGCAUCGGCGAUGAAGAGGAAUAUGACACAGGUUGAGUAGUAAUACACGUACCCACACUCUCUGUUCUGCCCUGAGGGCUCGUCGUCCUGGGACUUGCAAACCAAGGCUUAUCAGGAGGACUUCCCUAGCAGGAAGUGUCUAUGGCAGCGGUUCUCACGCUUCCUAAUGCUUUGACAGUUAGGUGCUCAUGUACUAAUCCCCAACCAUAAAAAUUAUUCUUGCUACUUCAUAACUGUAAUUUUGCUAGUUAUGAAUUGUAAUGUAAAUAUCUGUGUUUUCCAGUGGUUUCAAGGAACUCUGUGAAAGAAAGAGUCCUUUGACUAUCAGAAGGCCUUUUAGUAAUGCUUUCGCUUUAGAAUUCUUGAAUGGUGCUCACUAGAAAGCUACGCAGACAUUUUGCAUAGGCCUCAACUACCUGUCAUCAGCUGAGGAGCAAGCUGUUGGUGGAAGCUGUAUUUAAGCCUUUGAACACUCACCUGCUGCCUGAGAGUUGUGGGUCUGAAGGAAGGUGCCAAGGCCCUAAAAGGCCACUAGAUGGCACUCUAGUACCUAGGAGAUUUAGUUUAUCUAGGAUUGUCAUGUUAAAAAAAAUCAAAGUCAAUGUAUAAUUUUUACUUAUAAUUCCACAGCCUAAAUAAUGUAAGUAACCAUAGUUUAUAUGUAUAUUGAGUUAGAAAAAGUUAUGUUGGUAAAAAUAGUUAAAAAUAUAGU
rnacentral:lncRNA from 1 species